rnacentral:rRNA from 1 species
GCUUAGUGAGGCCUUCGGACUGGCUCAGAGGGGCUGGCAACGACCUCUCAGAGCCGGAAAGUUGUUCAAACUUGGUCAUUUAGAGGAAGUAAAAGUCGUAACAAGGUUUCCGUAGGUGAACCUGCGGAAGGAUCAUUACCGCGCCCGUGGGGGGCUGGCACGCCCGGCCUCCCCACCCGGCCACCCUUGCCUACCUGUACCUGUUGCUUCGGCGGGCCCGCAGCGAUGCCGCCGGGGGUUCGCCCCUGGCCCGCGCCCGCCGAAGACACCGAACUUCUAGUUAAGAUUGGCGUCUGAGCGUUUAACUAAAAUCGUUAAAACUUUCAACAACGGAUCUCUUGGUUCCGACAUCGAUGAAGAACGCAGCGAAAUGCGAUAAGUAAUGUGAAUUGCAGAAUUCCGUGAAUCAUCGAAUCUUUGAACGCACAUUGCGCCCUCUGGUAUUCCGGGGGGCAUGCCUGUCCGAGCGUCAUUGCAACCCUCAAGCGCGGCUUGUGUGUUGGGCCUUCGUCCCCCGUGGACGUGCCCGAAAUGCAGUGGCGGCGUCGUGUUCCGGUGCCCGAGCGUAUGGGGCUUUGUCACCCGCUCAUGGAGGCCCGGCCGGCCCCGGCCAACCCCCAAUCGAGGACUCGUUCCUCCACCAAGGUUUGACCUCGGAUCAGGUAGGGAUACCCGCUGAACUUAAGCAUAUCAAUAAGCGGAGGAAAAGAAACCAACAGGGAUUGCCUCAGUAACUGCGAGUGAAGCGGCAAGAGCUCAAAUUUGAAAUCUGGCGUCUUUGGGCGUCCGAGUUGUAAUUUGGAGAGGCAUCUUCGGAGAUGGGGCCGUCCUAAGUUCCUUGGAACAGGACGUCAUAGAGGGUGAGAAUCCAAGGGCGAA